CAAAAAUGCUUUUAAACACUUUUUUAGAUGGAAAAAGUACAAGAAAAAAAAUACAAAAGAAACAAAAUUUAAAAGUUUCUCUCAAUUUGCUUGAUUUAGUUUUUUUUAGCAUUUCAAUUUUUCACGUGACAUACUUAAAAUUACAAAACUAAAUAUCACUUAAUAUAUUUUACAGAUUUUCAAUUUUAAAUCACUAAAUGAAAAAAGUCACUUAUAAAAAGUGAACCCGACCCCCACACCACCAUUUUAUGGACAAGUUGUAAAUUAAAUAAGGCAGAAAUAUCGGAGAGAGGGGCCUAUAAAAUGAUGGCCCUUCAUGAACCAAAAUAUUGCAUUGCAUUGCCAUAACACAUUCUCCCACACGUAUACAUCUUUCUUAGCAAUAAUACUGUUGUUAUGGCUCGUAGUUACGCUUUCUAUUUCACUAUUGCUCUUUUGGUGAUGUCUGUUUAUUUGGAUGAGUCUAUAAAAGUGAAAGUAGACGCUGCAAGAGACGUGUCGCGGACUAUAACAGAACUGAAAUCAAAACUAAAUGGCUAUAACUUGAUGGGUGGUUGCGGUGGAUACUGUCGACAGAGUAGUGAUUGUUACGUUCGUUCAUGUCCCCGUUGUCUCUACGAUGUUCUUGCACAUACCUACGGCUGCCACUCGUAAAGGAUCGAUCACAAUAUGUGCUUCUAAGUUCUACAAAAUAAGAGUAUAUGUAUGUUUGUGUGGUUUAUUGCCUUCAAUUAAUUUGCUUUUGUAUUUAUCUUUUCUCAUUUAAGAGAACCACUAAGUUCUACUUCUACCUUAUAAUAAUAGAGGAAGGAUAAUGUAUUGGCCUACAAUAUUUGUACUUUUUGGUUUGGAAUGGAAGAACUCUAUAAUUAUUUUGCUUAUGGAA